GAUGAACGCUGGCGGCGUGCCUAAUACAUGCAAGUCGAGCGAACAGACGAGGAGCUUGCUCCUCUGACGUUAGCGGCGGACGGGUGAGUAACACGUGGAUAACCUACCUAUAAGACUGGGAUAACUUCGGGAAACCGGAGCUAAUACCGGAUAAUAUAUUGCACCGCAUGGUUCAAUAGUGAAAGACGGUUUUGCUGUCACUUAUAGAUGGAUCCGCGCCGCAUUAGUUGGUUGGUAAGGUAACGGCUUACCAAGGCAACGAUGCGUAGCCGACCUGAGAGGGUGAUCGGCCACACGGGUGCUGAGACACGGUCCAGCCUCCUACGGGAGGCAGCAGUAGGGAAUCUUCCGCAAUGGGCGAAAGCGUGACGGGGCAACGCCGCGUGAGUGAUGAAGGGCUUCGGAUCGUAAAACACUGUUAUUAGGGAAGAACAAAUGUGUAAGUAACUAUGCGCGUCUGGACGGUACCUAAGCAGAAAGCCACGGCUAACUACGU
rnacentral:rRNA from 1 species